rnacentral:rRNA from 1 species
UACAGAGGGGGCAAGCGUUGUUCGGAAUUACUGGGCGUAAAGGGCGCGUAGGCGGCCUUCUAAGUCGAACGUGAAGUCCCCGGGCUCAACCCGGGAACUGCGUCCGAUACUGGAAGGCUUGAAUCCGGGAGAGGGAUGUGGAAUUCCAGGUGUAGCGGUGAAAUGCGUAGAUAUCUGGAGGAACACCGGUGGCGAAGGCGACAUCCUGGACCGGUAUUGACGCUGAGGCGCGAAAGCCAGGGGAGCAAACGGG